GGUUCUAUGGUGUAAUGGUGAGCACUCAUGACUCUAAGUUCAAAUCUCGGUAGGACCU
rnacentral:tRNA from 1 species